rnacentral:rRNA from 2 species
GAGUUUGAUCUUGGCUCAGAUUGAACGCUGGCGGCAUGCCUUACACAUGCAAGUCGAACGGCAGCACGGGAGCUUGCUCCUGGUGGCGGGUGGCGAACGGGUGAGUAAUGCAUCGGAACGUAUCCUGGAGUGGGGGAUAACGUAGCGAAAGUUACGCUAAUACCGCAUAUUCUGUGAGCAGGAAAGCGGGGGACCUUCGGGCCUCGCGCUCUUGGAGCGGCCGAUGUCGGAUUAGCUAGUUGGUGAGGUAAAGGCUCACCAAGGCGACGAUCCGUAGCAGGUCUGAGAGGAUGAUCUGCCACACUGGAACUGAGACACGGUCCAGACUCCUACGGGAGGCAGCAGUGGGGAAUUUUGGACAAUGGGGGCAACCCUGAUCCAGCCAUGCCGCGUGAGUGAAGAAGGCC